GAAUCAACCGUCACAUGCCGACAUUAAACAAAAUAUUUUUGGCGGAACGGCAAUGCUUCGGAUGCAGUCCUAGCAUGAUGCUGUAAAACCUUGUUUGACGAUGGUUUUGCAUUGGGCACAGGAUGUAUGAAUGAAGAUAAACAUGACGAUUGCUCGGUAGGAAAGUCGAAACCCUUCCGGUAAGAAAACGGGGAGAAACGGGGACUGAGUUUCAGAUAUUUUGGAACUAGUUUUGGUGAAAAUCAUUACUUACUAUCUAGAUCUAAUCUUAUGCUAUCAUGAUAAACUUACAAAAUUGCAAAACAUGUAAAGAAACCCCAUAUGAAGAAAAACACACGCUACGCAUCUUUGUAAGUCGUCCAGUUAAAACGUUUUAUUACAUCGUUCUGAUUAACAUGAUACCACGGGUACAAAGUAGAUCCGUUUUCACUAUUCUAUCGCUUCUCUUAGGAUGUAUUCGCUCUCAGCAUAACGACAUGCACGCCACAGUUUUUACAAUGCAACAUAAUCUAGACUGAUCCAAAUAAAUAUUUACCCUGGGUAAUUACUGUUCAAAGUUUAACGACAAUCUAAAGAAUCUUUAUUGGUGAAAAGAAAGCAUAACCAGAGAGAAUUUUCGCUUGUGUCGUGAAGAUAACAUAAUCGAACUGUAUCUUGGCUGCAGAUGGUUCUCGUUUACAUCCCCGUUACAUCCUCAUCAUCACAGCUAUUAAUGUGUGUGUGGAGAAAGGCAAUUAAAAAUGGCUAAACUACAAGGACAUACAUACACACACGUACACUCACGAACACAGAGCUACCCACCGACCCCGAUCGAUGGUGGAUAGAUGAUUUUCCAAUAGUUUUCAACCGGCAAAUAGGUGCCCCUUAAUGCCACCGUUCUCUCCCGCUUUACGGAUUUCUCUGUAAACAUUCAUAACGAUAACACGGUAAACACUGAGGCACGAGGACGACACAAUGAUCACGAGAAAGGACAACGACGAUAACAGCGAUGAUGUAGUGGAUGAUCAGUGCCCCGUAAACAGGGACAUUUGCUCCCUUUCGAAUGACUGUGACUGUUUGCAUACACUUUAGUCAUUCGAAAGGACGGCGUGAACGAAAGUAGUUAAAGAGUCUUUCAUCCACCAUCGAUCGGAACUUAAUCAUUGCUGCCGGAGCAGCCAGUACAUAUACGUCCAUAAGAUCCAUCCUACAUUGUUCCCUUGGAAUCGUAUUGUUUGUUUUACAACUAUUUAUUAUCUGAUCGCUUUCUUGUUGUUCCUCCUGGCCUCCUUCAUUGGCUUUGAAUUUUCAUUUGAAUAAAAUAUGUUUUAUUCUACAUUCUGAUUUCCUUCAAUUCUACCAACGAUACCAUUUUCGGUCGUUGAUUUUCGUCGAGUCCUUUCGAUCAGCUAUUUCUAGGUGCCGUAUGACAAUAACGUCAACGAUCGAUGUUAAUGUAAUAAUUUCAGUUUAACAAUCACGGUUGGUUCUAGCAGGGCUAACGCAUUUGCCACCUACAGGGUAUAUCGCCCAUGAAUAUGUAUAGUGUAUAUGUAUAGUACGAAUAUAUACAAAGACACGUGUUAAUCUUGUAUAUUGUUUUAAAAUAGUUCGCUACCCCGCUUUCGAGCGACGGUGUCUGCCUUCAUGCGCUUUCAGUACAGUUGUUGAUUUGCUUUUCUCUCGCCUAAGUCUUUGGUAGUAUGUCGGGUGCAUAUAUUUAAUUAUAAUUAUUGUGUAAAUAAAACAGCUACUCCUGCGGUGCAGCACGAUGUCAUCCCGCGAGGGAUGCAAAUCA